rnacentral:rRNA from 1 species
UACGAAGGGGGCUAGCGUUGCUCGGAAUCACUGGGCGUAAAGAGUGCGUAGGCGGGUCUUUAAGUCAGGGGUGAAAUCCUGGAGCUCAACUCCAGAACUGCCUUUGAUACUGAGGAUCUUGAGUUCGGGAGAGGUGAGUGGAACUGCGAGUGUAGAGGUGAAAUUCGUAGAUAUUCGCAAGAACACCAGUGGCGAAGGCGGCUCACUGGCCCGAUACUGACGCUGAGGCACGAAAGCGUGGGGAGCAAACAGGG